rnacentral:rRNA from 1 species
AAUGAACGCUGGCGGCAUGCUUUACACAUGCAAGUCGAACGGAAGCGCGGGAUUCGGCCUGGCGGCGAGUGGCGAACGGGUGAGUAAUACAUCGGUACGUGCCCAGUAGAGGGGGAUAGCACGGCGAAAGCCGGCUUAAUCCCGCAUACGACCAGAUGGUGAAAGCGGGGGAUCUUCGGACCUAGCGCUACUGGCGCGGCCGCUGGCAGUUAGGCUCGUUGGUGGGGUAAAGGGGUACGAGGGCGACGUGCUGUAGCUGGUCUGCGAGGACGACCAGCCACACUGAGACUAGGCAACGUCCCAGACUCCAACGGGAGGCAGCAGAGGGGAAUUUCGGACAAGGGGGGAAACCCGAAUCAAGCAAGGCCGCGGGUGUGAUGAGGGCCUUCGGUUUGUAAAGCACUUUUGGCGGGAACAAAAAGGACGGUGCCAACUCCACGGUUCGAUGACGUUACCCGCAAGAUAAGCACCGCCUAACUACUU